GGUACCUUUAAUUCAGUCCUGUGAGGCUGACAAGGAAACGGAUAAGUUGAUGGAAUUAUUGUAUAAGCGAAUACAACCUAUGCGGGUGUAUAGCUAGCAAUGAAUCUAUUUAACGAGAAAGGCUUCUUGUCACAUUUGGCAGGAAGCUUUUUACU
rfam:Virgibacillus pantothenticus strain DSM 26 super13, whole genome shotgun sequence.